rnacentral:rRNA from 1 species
CUACGGGAGGCAGCAGUGAGGAAUAUUGCACAAUGGAGGAAACUCUGAUGCAGCAACGCCGCGUGGAGGAUGACGCAUUUCGGUGUGUAAACUCCUUUUAUAUGUCAAGAAAAUGACGGUAGCAUAUGAAUAAGCACCGGCUAACUCCGUGCCAGCAGCCGCGGUAAUACGGAGGGGUGCAAGCGUUACUCGGAAUCACUGGGCGUAAAGGACGCGUAGGCGGGAUAUCAAGUCAGGUGUGAAAUCCUACAGCUUAACUGUAGAACUGCACUUGAAGCUGGUAACCUAGAGUAUGGGAGGGGGAGAUGGAAUUAGUGGUGUAGGGGUAAAAUCCGUAGAUAUCACUAGGAAUACCUAAAGCGAAGGCGAUCUCCUGGAACAUAACUGACGCUAAGGCGUGAAAGCGUGGGGAGCAAACAGGAUUAGAUACCCGAGUAGUC